UCCCAUUAUCCAAAUCCAAAUUCUUCUUCUAGACAAGCAAGAGGAUCAGUCCAGAGAGAGAAGAAAGAUGAAGACUUUAGCGGUUGUUCUGGUGCUUGCGUUGGCCUUCGGCUUUGGAGAAGCUCUGAGGUGCAACCGGUGUAUCAAUAGAGGCUGUUCCAACAGGGUUGAGACGUGCAGCGGACCCAACGACGUCUGCGCAAGUGUGCUCUUCCUGCCUCCUGCCCCCAUCAAUUUCUUCAGACGUUGCAUGACGGCGUCCGACUGCCACCUGUUGAGUUCUCGGCCCAGCCUUGUGACGGCCAGAUGCUGUGGGACAGACCUCUGCAACUAAAGCCCAGAGCUGGGGUCGCAAGUCACCAAGGUUACAUCUCUACCAGGGCUAUUCCCAUUUUGAAAUGGGCCAUUUCCCUUUCUGUACCAUCUGUAGUGAGGAAGUGGAUUGACAUGCAUGACAAUAAAGCUGUUAUGAAUUAGUAAAAAUGAAUUUACUGCCUUACUGAGACUCUUUUUUGUUUGGUUAAUAAAACCUUGUUGAA